rnacentral:misc_RNA from 1 species
CCAAUAGCGUAUAUUAAAGUUGUUGCAGUUAAAAAGCUCGUAGUUGAAUUUCGGGACCAAUCUGCCGGUCGUGCCUCCGGUACGCACUGGUUUUAUUGGUUUCUCCCUUCUGACGAACCAUGAUGUCAUUAAUUUGGUGUCAUGGGGAAUCAGGACUGUUACUUUGAAAAAAUUAGAGUGUUUAUAGCAGGCUCACGCUUGAAUACAUUAGCAUGGAAUAAUGAAAUAGGACGUUUGACCCUAUUUUGUUGGUUUCUAGGAUCGACGUAAUGAUUAAUAGGGAUAGUUGGGGGCAUUAGUAUUCAAUUGUCAGAGGUGAAAUUCUUGGAUUUAUUGAAGACUAACUACUGCGAAAGCAUUUGCCAAGGAUGUUUUCAUUAAUCAAGAACGAAAGUUAGGGGAUCGAAGACGAUCAGAUACCGUCGUAGUCUUAACCAUAAACUAUGCCGACUAGGGAUCGGAUGAUGUUAAUUUUUUAAUGACUCAUUCGGCGCCUUAC